UACGGAGGGUGCAAGCGUUGUCCGGAUUUAUUGGGUUUAAAGGGCGCGUAGGCGGGUGCUCAAGUCCGGGGUGAAAUCCCACAGCUCAACUGUGGAACUGCCUCGGAUACUGGGCGUCUCGAGGGUGGCAGGGGUAUGCGGAACUAUCGGUGGAGCGGUGAAAUGCGUUGAUAUCGAUAGGAACUCCGGUGGCGAAGGCGGCAUACUGGUCCACUUCUGACGCUGAGGCGCGAAAGCCAGGGGAGCGAACGGG
rnacentral:rRNA from 1 species